rnacentral:rRNA from 1 species
UACGGGGGGGGCAAGCGUUGUUCGGAAUUACUGGGCGUAAAGAGCGUGUAGGCGGUCCGGUAAGUCAGCUGUGAAAGUCAAGGGCUCAACCCUUGAAAGCCGGUUGAUACUGUCGGGCUAGAGUCCGGAAGAGGCGAGUGGAAUUCCCGGUGUAGCGGUGAAAUGCGCAGAUAUCGGGAGGAACACCAAUGGCGAAGGCAGCUCGCUGGGACGGUACUGACGCUGAGACGCGAAAGCGUGGGGAGCAAAUAGG